AUACGGAGGGUGCAAGCGUUACUCGGAAUCACUGGGCGUAAAGCGCGCGCAGGCGGUCUUUUAAGUUGGAUGUGAAAGCCUACGGCUCAACCGUAGAACUGCAUCCAAAACUAUUAGACUAGAGUGUGAGAGAGGAAGAUGGAAUUAGUUGUGUAGGGGUAAAAUCCGUAGAGAUAACUAGGAAUACCAAAAGCGAAGGCAAUCUUCUGGAACACUACUGACGCUGAGGCGCGAAAGCGUGGGGAGCAAACAGAAGUAGAAACCCUAGUAGUCC
rnacentral:rRNA from 1 species